UGGCUCUCGCAUCGAUGAAGAACGCAGCGAAAUGCGAUAAGUAAUGUGAAUUGCAGAAUUCAGUGAAUCAUCGAAUCUUUGAACGCACCUUGCGCUCCUUGGUAUUCCGAGGAGCAUGCUUGUUUGAGUGUCAUGGUAUUCUCAACCCUCCUGCAUUUUUUAUUAAAUGUGGUUGGGCUUGGACUUGGAGGCUUUGCUGGUGUCUGAAUAUUUUUUUAUUCGGACGUGGGCUCCUCUGAAAUGCAUUAGCUUGAAUAAAUCCAAGCAUGAUCCAGUGUGAUAAUUGUCUACGCUGCUUCAUCUCGGAAUAAUAAAAUUCUAGCUUCUAACCGUCCUUCGGGACUUACUCUGAACAUCUGACCUCAAAUCAAGUAGGACUACCCGCUGA
rnacentral:misc_RNA from 1 species